rnacentral:rRNA from 1 species
AUACAUGCAGUCGAGCGGACAGAUGGGAAGCUUGCUUCCCUGAUGUUAGCGGCGGACGGGUGAGUAACACGUGGGUAACCUGCCUGUAAGACUGGGAUAACUCCGGGAAACCGGGGCUAAUACCGGAUGCUUGUUUGAACCGCAUGGUUCAAACAUAAAAGGUGGCUUCGGCUACCACUUACAGAUGGACCCGCGGCGCAUUAGCUAGUUGGUGAGGUAAUGGCUCACCAAGGCGACGAUGCGUAGCCAACCUGAGAGGGUGAUCGGCCACACUGGGACUGAGACACGGCCCAGACUCCUACGGGAGGCAGCAGUAGGGAAUCUUCCGCAAUGGACGAAAGUCUGACGGAGCAACGCCGCGUGAGUGAUGAAGGUUUUCGGAUCGUAAAGCUCUGUUGUUAGGGAAGAACAAGUACCGUUCGAAUAGGGCGGUACCUUGACGGUACCUAACCAGAAAGCCACGGCUAACUACGUGCCAGCAGCCGCGGUAAUACGUAGGUGGCAAGCGUUGUCCGGAAUUAUUGGGCGUAAAGGGCUCGCAGGCGGUUUCUUAAGUCUGAUGUGAAAGCCCCCGGCUCAACCGGGGAGGGUCAUUGGAAACUGGGGAACUUGAGUGCAGAAGAGGAGAGUGGAAUUCCACGUGUAGCGGUGAAAUGCGUAGAGAUGUGGAGGAACACCAGUGGCGAAGGCGACUCUCUGGUCUGUAACUGACGCUGAGGAGCGAAAGCGUGGGGAGCGAACAGGAUUAGAUACCCUGGUAGUCCACGCCGUAAACGAUGAGUGCUAAGUGUUAGGGGGUUUCCGCCCCUUAGUGCUGCAGCUAACGCAUUAAGCACUCCGCCUGGGGAGUACGGUCGCAAGACUGAAACUCAAAGGAAUUGACGGGGCCCGCACAAGCGGUGGAGCAUGUGGUUUAAUUCGAAAAACGCGAAGACCUUACCAGGUCUUGACUUCUCUGACAUCCUAGAGAUAGGACGUCCCUUCG